rnacentral:rRNA from 1 species
GAUGAACGCUAGCGGGAGGCCUAACACAUGCAAGCCGAGCGGUAUUGUUUCUUCGGAAAUGAGAGAGCGGCGUACGGGUGCGGAACACGUGUGCAACCUGCCUUUAUCUGGGGGAUAGCCUUUCGAAAGGAAGAUUAAUACUCCAUAACAUAUUGAUUGGCAUCAAUUAAUAUUGAAAGCUCCGGCGGAUAGAGAUGGGCACGCGCAAGAUUAGCUAGUCGGUGAGGUAACGGCUCACCAAGGCGAUGAUCUUUAGGGGGCCUGAGAGGGUGAUCCCCCACACUGGUACUGAGACACGGACCAGACUCCUACGGGAGGCAGCAGUGAGGAAUAUUGGUCAAUGGGUGCAAGCCUGAACCAGCCAUCCCGCGUGAAGGACGACUGCCCUAUGGGUUGUAAACUUCUUUUGUAUAGGGAUAAACCUACCCUCGUGAGGGUAGCUGAAGGUACUAUACGAAUAAGCACCGGCUAACUCCGUGCCAGCAGCCGCGGUAACACGGAGGGUGCAAGCGUUAUCCGGAUUUAUUGGGUUUAAAGGGUCCGUAGGCGGACUUAUAAGUCAGUGGUGAAAGCCUGUCGCUUAACGAUAGAACUGCCAUUGAUACUGUAAGUCUUGAGUAUAUUUGAGGUAGCUGGAAUAAGUAGUGUAGCGGUGAAAUGCAUAGAUAUUACUUAGAACACCAAUUGCGAAGGCAGGUUACCAAGAUAUAACUGACGCUGAGGGACGAAAGCGUGGGGAGCGAACAGGAUUAGAUACCCUGGUAGUCCACGCCGUAAACGAUGCUAACUCGUUUUUGGGCUUUAGGGUUCAGAGACCAAGCGAAAGUGAUAAGUUAGCCACCUGGGGAGUACGCUCGCAAGAGUGAAACUCAAAGGAAUUGACGGGGGCCCGCACAAGCGGUGGAUUAUGUGGUUUAAUUCGAUGAUACGCGAGGAACCUUACCAAGACUUAAAUGGGAAUUGACAGCUUUAGAAAUAGAGCUUUCUUCGGACAAUUUUCAAGGUGCUGCAUGGUUGUCGUCAGCUCGUGCCGUGAGGUGUUAGGUUAAGUCCUGCAACGAGCGCAACCCCUGUCACUAGUUGCCAUCAUUCAGUUGGGGACUCUAGUGAGACUGCCUACGCAAGUAGAGAGGAAGGUGGGGAUGACGUCAAAUCAUCACGGCCCUUACGUCUUGGGCCACACACGUAAUACAAUGGCCGGUACAGAGGGCAGCUACACAGCGAUGUGAUGCAAAUCUCGAAAGCCGGUCUCAGUUCGGAUUGGAGUCUGCAACUCGACUCUAUGAAGCUGGAAUCGCUAGUAAUCGCGCAUCAGCCAUGGCGCGGUGAAUAAGUCCCCGGGCCU